rnacentral:misc_RNA from 1 species
GAUGAAGAACGCAGCGAAAUGCGAUAAGUAAUGUGAAUUGCAGAAUUCAGUGAAUCAUCGAAUCUUUGAACGCACAUUGCGCCCGCUAGUAUUCUGGCGGGCAUGCCUGUCCGAGCGUCAUUUCAACCCUCAAGCCCCCGGGCUUGGUGUUGGGGAUCGGCGAGCCUCCGCGCCCGCCGUCCCCUAAAUCUAGUGGCGGUCUCGCUGUAGCUUCCUCUGCGUAGUAGCACACCUCGCACUGGGAAACAGCGCGGCCACGCCGUUAAACCCCCAACUUCUGAACGUUUGACCUCGGAUCAGGUAGGAAUACCCGCUGAACUUAAGCAUAUCAAUAAGCGGAGGA